GAGGCGAACCGGGGGAACUGAAACAUCUAAGUACCCCGAGGAAAAGAAAUCAACCGAGAUUCCGAAAGUAGCGGCGAGCGAAAUUGGACUAGCCCUUAAGCUUUACACGCGUUAGACGAACGGUCUGGAAAGUCCGACGAUACAGGGUGAUAGUCCCGUAGUUGACGACGUGUGUUCAGUGAAAUCGAGUAGGGCGGGACACGUGAUAUCCUGUCUGAAUAUGGGGGGACCAUCCUCCAAGGCUAAAUACUACUGACUGACCGAUAGUGAACCAGUACCGUGAGGGAAAGGCGAAAAGAACCCCUGUGAGGGGAGUGAAAUAGAACCUGAAACCGUGUACGUACAAGCAGUAGGAGCAGGCUUGUCCUGUGACUGCGUACCUUUUGUAUAAUGGGUCAGCGACUUAUAUUCAGUGGCAAGGUUAACCAUCUAGGGGAGCCGUAGGGAAACCGAGUCUUAACUGGGCGUUCAGUCUCUGGAUAUAGACCCGAAACCAGGUGAUCUAGCCAUGGGCAGGUUGAAGGUUGAGUAACAUCAACUGGAGGACCGAACCGACUAAUGUUGAAAAAUUAGCGGAUGACUUGUGGCUAGGGGUGAAAGGCCAAUCAAACCUGGAGAUAGCUGGUUCUCCCCGAAAGCUAUUUAGGUAGCGCCUCGGACGAAUACUACUGGGGGUAGAGCACUGUUAAGGCUAGGGGGUCAUCCCGACUUACCAACCCUUUGCAAACUCCGAAUACCAGUAAGUACUAUCCGGGAGACACACGGCGGGUGCUAACGUCCGUCG
rnacentral:rRNA from 1 species